AGCAAUUUUAAAAACCGCAGAGAAAUUCCCGAGAAACUGCAAUAGAGAGAAAGAGAGAGCAACAAGAGACUUCAAUUAAAUACCGAGUGAGACUGUGUCAGUGACUCACUGUGACUCAGUGUCGUUGAUCGAAACUUGAAAACCGAAAACAAAACUCGAAAAAAAUGGCUUACACAGUUUCAACAGUUUCAAAAUAAUUCUCAUCGCCGCGUUUUUUUCUUGUUCCCCCUUUCUUACGUCGUUUUCAUUUGUAAACUACCGUGUACGACAUGAAUCGGUUAGGGUUCAAAAUCGAAGUGUUCGAAGGCGACGUGCGUUUAGGCGAACUCGACGUUACUCCGGUAACGGCUUUUCAGAAUUUCCGAUUCCCGAACAACGAGAUUCGCAUCCACCAUAGAAGCUUCAGAAGCGAGCGUUGUCCUCCGCUCUCGAUUCUUCAAGCGGUUUCCGCGUUCAAUGUUCGAUGUAAACUCGAUUCAUCGUUUCCCGUUGAACAACCGGCGUUAAUCAACCUUCACGCUUCGUGUUUCCAUGAAAUGAAGACUGCGGUGGCGGUGGUUGGGGACGAAGAGCUUCAUCUAGUGGCGAUGCCGAGUAAGAGGAAGAAGUUUCCGUGUUUUUGGUGUUAUGCUGUUCCGGUGAGACUUUACGAUGCGUGCAUGGGGAUGUUGAAUUUGAGGUGUCUUGCGAUUGUGUUUGAUUUGGAUGAGACUUUGAUUGUUGCGAACACGAUGAAGUCCUUUGAAGAUAGGAUUGAUGCGUUGCGUAGUUGGCUUUCGAGGGAGAGUGAUCCGUCGAGGGUGCAGGGUAUGUCUGCCGAGCUCAAGCGUUACUUGGAGGAUAGGUUGCUGUUGAAGCAGUUUAUUGAGACUAAUUCUGUAGUUGAUAGUAAUGGAAAGCUGUAUCAGGUUCAGAUGGAGGAAGUGCCUUCUUUGAAUGAACAGAAAGUUCUCCGCCCUGUUGUUAGGUUGCAAGAUAGGAAUAUUGUCCUUACUCGAAUCAAUCCCGAGAUUCGUGAUACUAGUGUACUAGUGAGGUUACGGCCUGCUUGGGAGGAUUUACGAUGCUAUUUAACUGCAAGAGGACGCAAGCGUUUUGAAGUAUAUGUUUGUACUAUGGCUGAAAGGGAUUAUGCCUUGGAAAUGUGGAGGCUUCUUGACCCAGGGGCACAUCUUAUAGGUUCAAAGCAAGUCUUUGAUCGGGUUAUUUGCGUUAAAUCAGGUUCCCGAAAAUCUUUACUAAAUGUUUUUCACGAUGGUAUGUGCCAUCCAAAAAUGGCAAUGGUGAUUGAUGACCGUUCAAAGGUUUGGGAGGACAAGGACCAGCCAAGGGUUCAUGUGGUUCCUGCCUUUACUCCUUACUAUGCUCCUCAAGCAGAGACAGCCAAUGCUGUCCCAGUCCUAUGUGUAGCGAGAAAUGUUGCAUGCAAUGUCAGGGGUUGUUUUUUCAAAGAAUUUGAUGAGAACUUUUUACAAAGAAUUGCUGAAGUCUUCUUUGAAGACGAGGUUGGAAGUUUACCUCACCCUCCGGAUGUGAGCAGUUACUUGAUGUCUGAGGAGGUGCCAAAUGGUAAUGGACAAGCUAAUGCCCCCAUCAGUGAAGGAAUGAGUGGCUCAGAGGUUGAGCGUAGGUUAAACCAACCUGAUGAUAAGCUUUCUGCUGAAUUAGUCAGUCGGCCCAUGGCAAAUAGUGUUGAGUUCAGACAUGAAACCUCUCAGUCAACUGCUGGCAUAGUUCCUAAUGUCACUGGUCCUGGAUCAUCAAGGCCUUUGAUUCCUUCUCAGAAACCAGGUCUGCUGGGACCUCCAGUCAAACACGAUGGAAGUUUUAUUGAUCGUGAUUUUGACAUGAAAAAAGGACUAUUAAAUAUGAGAGGUCAAAGUUCAGCUGAACCCCCUCUGAUACCGAGGCCACCUGUUCCUGCAUACGGAAGCUGGUUGGUAGAAGAUGAUAUAAGCAACAGAACUCAGACAAAUAAUUGGCCUUUUGCAUCUCCUAAGGAAUCUAAUGUUGUAAAGUCUGAAAAGCACCAGACUCAACCAAAACAAUUUUCACUUAAAACAGAAGUUCCAGUUUCCAAUGUGCCACUCUCACAAACACCACAACUUAAGGCUGAAGAGGUUUCUAAUGUGGCAACUUCGGUAUCUGAUUUUCGGAGGCAGAAUAUUCCAACUAAGUCUCAUCUAUCAGAGAGUACAAUUUCUCUGAAUCAUGCUGCUUCUAAUAGCAAAGAUUUUCCAAAUGAAGUUGGAAAAUUGAACUUUGUACCAUCUUUGUCUAUUGGAGUGCUGCAAGAAAUUGGGAGGCGGUGUUGCUCUAAGGUGGAAUUUAAGUCAAUUGUAAGCACCAGCAAAGAUUUGCAGUUUUCAGUUGAGGUACUAUUCACUGGUGAGAAAAUAGGCUUUGGUAUGGGUAGGACAAGGAAAGAUGCUCAACAACAAGCUGCCGAGAAUGCUCUUCGCAGCUUAGCAGAGAAGUAUGUAACACAUAUGGAGCCUCAAUGUAAAGCUGUUGAUAAAGAAUUUGAUAAGCUCUCUCUUGAACAUGAAAAUGGUUUCUUGUGGGAUGUGGUCGAUGCGGAGUCCAGUGAACUGCAGACAGAAGAUGGAUUACCAAGAGAGAGUGCUUCUAAGGUGGGGAUUUUUUUAUGCUUUUGGUAGUUGAUUUGUGUGACCUGUUUUGAUUAAGGGAAUAGGUGAUGCUUGGAUAAGGGGUAAUGUGGACUAGAUAUUCCAGAUCGUUUAUGGAAUUGUGUAGCAUCAAUGUGAAGACUAAAUCACUGAAUGAGGAGUGAACUCGCUUCACGUCUGCUACUGUUGUCUUAGACAGGCGUCUUAAAUUCCCACUUUAAAGGCUCAAGAUGCUGAGAUCCGGCCAUUAAAUCCCAAUCCCAUCAAUCCGCAAUUGGAAAAACGUGCUAGCUUCCCAAGAACGCAUCAGCCUGUUCAUAGCAAACGAUUGAAGGAAUGAAAAUGUAGCUAGCUGAACAAGAACAGCCAUCAUUGCAGCAACCGAAGAAUAUGAUAUUUGUGAGACGAUAUUUUGGGGGCAAAAUGUUUUGAUCUAAGUACUUUGCUCAUGUAAAAUCUCCAGCCUAGUGGUUUUAGAAAUGCUGAGGGGACUUCCCCCUUGCUGAUUUAUGUUAUAUCAUAGAGAAGGGCAUUGUUUUUUGCCCGACCAUUUUCCAUGUUGUCAGGCUAGCCACAUUUUCAAUGUUGUCUGGCUAGCCACAUUUUCAAUGUUGUAUCAGUUCGAUUGAGUUAGUUUUCUUCUUUGUAGUUUAUCCACUACUGAUGGUGGUUGAAUUUGUCUUGCUUCUCGGAUGAAGCUCCAUAUUGUAUUGUAUCUUCUGCAGUCACAGGUCAUCCACUGUGAAACCAUCCAAGCCAACAUGUUAUUAAUCA